CCUAAGGCGAGGCCGAAAGGCGUAGUCGAUGGGAAACAGGUUAAUAUUCCUGUACUUGGUGUUACUGCGAAGGGGGGACGGAGAAGGCUAUGUUGGCCGGGCGACGGUUGUCCCGGUUUAAGCGUGUAGGCUGGUUUUCCAGGCAAAUCCGGAAAAUCAAGGCUGAGGCGUGAUGACGAGGCACUACGGUGCUGAAGCAACAAAUGCCCUGCUUCCAGGAAAAGCCUCUAAGCAUCAGGUAACAUCAAAUCGUACCCCAAACCGACACAGGUGGUCAGGUAGAGAAUACCAAGGCGCUUGAGAGAACUCGGGUGAAGGAACUAGGCAAAAUGGUGCCGUAACUUCGGGAGAAGGCACGCUGAUAUGUAGGUGAGGUCCCUCGCGGAUGGAGCUGAAAUCAGUCGAAGAUACCAGCUGGCUGCAACUGUUUAUUAAAAACACAGCACUGUGCAAACACGAAAGUGGACGUAUACGGUGUGACGCCUCCCCGGUGCCGGAAGGUUAAUUGAUGGGGUUAGCGCAAGCGAAGCUCUUGAUCGAAGCCCCGGUAAACGGCGGCCGUAACUAUAACGGUCCUAAGGUAGCGAAAUUCCUUGUCGGGUAAGUUCCGACCUGCACGAAUGGCGUAAUGAUGGCCAGGCUGUCUCCACCCGAGACUCAGUGAAAUUGAACUCGCUGUGAAGAUGCAGUGUACCCGCGGCAAGACGGAAAGACCCCGUGAACCUUUACUAUAGCUUGACACUGAACAUUGAGCCUUGAUGUGUAGGAUAGGUGGGAGGCUUUGAAGUGUGGACGCCAGUCUGCAUGGAGCCGACCUUGAAAUACCACCCUUUAAUGUUUGAUGUUCUAACGUUGACCCGUAAUCCGGGUUGCGGACAGUGUCUGGUGGGUAGUUUGACUGGGGCGGUCUCCUCCUAAAGAGUAACGGAGGAGCACGAAGGUUGGCUAAUCCUGGUCGGACAUCAGGAGGUUAGUGCAAUGGCAUAAGCCAGCUUGACUGCGAGCGUGACGGCGCGAGCAGGUGCGAAAGCAGGUCAUAGUGAUCCGGUGGUUCUGAAUGGAAGGGCCAUCGCUCAACGGAUAAAAGGUACUCCGGGGAUAACAGGCUGAUACCGCCCAAGAGUUCAUAUCGACGGCGGUGUUUGGCACCUCGAUGUCGGCUCAUCACAUCCUGGGGCUGAAGUAGGUCCCAAGGGUAUGGCUGUUCGCCAUUUAAAGUGGUACGCGAGCUGGGUUUAGAACGUCGUGAGACAGUUCGGUCCCUAUCUGCCGUGGGCGCUGGAGAACUGAGGGGGGCUGCUCCUAGUACGAGAGGACCGGAGUGGACGCAUCACUGGUGUUCGGGUUGUCAUGCCAAUGGCACUGCCCGGUAGCUAAAUGCGGAAGAGAUAAGUGCUGAAAGCAUCUAAGCACGAAACUUGCCCCGAGAUGAGUUCUCCCUGACUCCUUGAGAGUCCUGAAGGAACGUUGAAGACGACGACGUUGAUAGGCCGGGUGUGUAAGCGCAGCGAUGCGUUGAGCUAACCGGUACUAA
rnacentral:rRNA from 1 species